CUAAAUAUGAUUAGAAGCUGAACAGCGAGUACACUUCUCCUGAAACAAGCAAGAAAUUCGGCUUCCAGGUAACACGACACUACUUUCAUUAAGGCUUAUUUUCCCCCAUUCCUUCAACCCUAGUUUCCUCAGGGAAGAAGCAAAGAACUAUCAUUAAUAAUUUACAGACUUUGUUCCAAAGGCUGUAAAGGGUAACAUCUCUGGUGUUAAUCCUCUUCACAGCAGCUAUAUUUUCAUCUUAUGGAAAAAUCCAAGGCUAAUGGUAAAAUAACUUCCCCACGGUCACACUGUGCUACUCUAAAGGGACAGCACAUCCCGCAAAGGACCUCUCCUAAAGAGCAGAGAACUUUUCAUUACUGGUGUUGUUCAAGAAAAGCCUUGAUGAUGUAGAAGAGAUUCUUUGAAGGUCAGUCUUUUCCUCCUGAUGAAGGAAUUCAUGAACUGCAUGCUACCCUUACUGUUAUGACUUCUAAAACUGC
rnacentral:lncRNA from 1 species